rnacentral:tRNA from 1 species
UCCCUGGUAGCUCAGACGGUAAAGUGUCUGCCUGCAAUGCAGGAGACCCUGGUUUGAUUCCUGGGUUGGGAA